ACACAGCGAGAAAGAGGCCAUCUGAAAGCCACUAGGAGGGCCCUUACCAUGAACCACAUGAGCCAGCACCUUGAUCUUGAACCUCCCAGCCUCCUGAACUAUGGAAACCCAAAUUUCUCUUAUUUAAGUCAACCAAAUCUCUGGUCUUUUGUUAUGGCAGUGCAAACUGACAAAUGCAAUUACUGUGAGUAAGUGGGGUUUUUUCUUUAAAUAAUCUUUUAAUUUCAGAAUAAUUUUACUUCUACAGGAAAGUUGCCAAGAGAGUUCACAGAGUUCCUGUAUACGCUUCAUCCCAUUUUCUUUGAUGUCGACAUCCCACAUGACCAAGGAUCUCAUUCAGGAUAUCACUGGACUGCACUUCAUGGGUUUUAUUUGUAUUUCGCUGAUGAGAAAAGGAAUCCACUUGGGUCAAUUAGCUUACCCACAUUCACAUCCGCCUGUUCAAGGCUGUCGUAACCACACAGCAAAGGCACUCAAGAAAAAUGCCUAUAUCCAUAGAGGCACUACUGAAACCAUGCAAGCAACAGAACCAUCUGGGGGUAGAAAAGCCACAAGAAAAAUCACGGCUCAUUCUAUUACUUCUUGGGUGAUUAAUGGAAAUCUGGUACGUCAUGCACAAAUAUUUUCUAUCUAGAUUUCACAUCAUGGAACUAGCAGGAAUGCAGCGCAAUGUGACAAAAAUACUCAACAUUGAGUCUUAAUUAGGCUUGAUCACAAAGCCUGACAGUCACUGCCUCAAGGACACUAUUCCUUUUGUGCCUGGCAAAUAACAGGUACGCCCAAGUGUUUAUUAGAUGAAUAUUUAAUUUUCCAGUCUAAACGGGUUGGAAAGUUUGAUCUUCGUAUUUUCCUUGGAAAUAAAUACAUUUUCAUCAAAACUUAUAAAUCAGUUUUCGAGAAGUUGUAGUCUUCCAGAAAAGCCUGGCUAACUCACACUGCCAAAUCUUUCAGAGUUUGCCUGUGUAGUGGUGACGAUGUUGACAAGAUUUCAAGGGGCCUGAAGAGGAAACACCAAAUGAGAAGGAGUGUUCAGAAAAACAGAAACAGGGUUUUAUAAAUACUUCUGAGCAGAUGUCAUGUGCACGAAGGCAGGCCAGUUCUCUGAAUUGUGAACUGAUCUCAAGUUCAAAACGCACUCCCUGUGUUGGGGGGAAGCAUCGUCUUUCCACUCUUAAUAUAUCAAGUUCUUUGAAAUCAUCCUUUCCCAACGGUGGUGUUGUCAAAAAACAAAACAACCCCCCCCCCAAAAAAAACACAAAAAACCAAAAACCAGAAAAACAAAACAGCGGCUCACACUUACAUGAACUCUCGGACGGACCUCCGGCAAGAGCACAUCAGCAAGUUAGGCAAGAAAAUUCCCUCACCGGUAAUAAAUAAGGAGCAGAGGGAAUGAAGAUGGGCAUUUUGGCCGGAUUCCAAACGCGGAAACCUGCCUAUCCACCUCCAAAAUGAUGCAAGAUUGCAGUUUCUUUAAUGUUCAUCUUAUGUGCUUAAUUACCGAUAGUGCUCGACUAAUUAUUUCUUGUUUUGUAGACUAUUUAAACAGAGAAGGAAGGCAGCUACAGACUUUUGUAUACCGAAUGAGGAUUUGUAACUCAUUUUUGUAAUCGCAUGAUUCCCAGAAGGCUUCAUUACAAACACGAAAGAAAACAGGAUGCUAAAAGCAGGUGACAGUCUCAUUUCCACAGGUACGGGUUAAAGCAGCACA